rnacentral:rRNA from 1 species
CCUACGGGAGGCAGCAGUGGGGAAUAUUGGACAAUGGGCGAAAGCCUGAUCCAGCAAUGCCGCGUGAGUGAUGAAGGCCUUCGGGUCGUAAAGCUCUUUUACCAGGGAUGAUAAUGACAGUACCUGGAGAAUAAGCUCCGGCUAACUCCGUGCCAGCAGCCGCGGUAAUACGGAGGGAGCUAGCGUUGUUCGGAAUUACUGGGCGUAAAGAGUACGUAGGCGGUUAUUCAAGUCAGAGGUGAAAGCCCGGGGCUCAACCCCGGAACUGCCUUUGAAACUAGAUAACUAGAGUCUUGGAGAGGUUAGUGGAAUUCCGAGUGUAGAGGUGAAAUUCGUAGAUAUUCGGAAGAACACCAGUGGCGAAGGCGACUAACUGGACAAGUACUGACGCUGAGGUACGAAAGCGUGGGGAGCAAACAGGAUUAGAUACCCUGGUAGUCCACGCCGUAAACGAUGAUAACUAGUUGUUCGGUCACUUGGUGACUGAGUGACGCAGCUAACGCAUUAAGUUAUCCGCCUGGGGAGUACGGUCGCAAGNUUAAAACNCAAAGAUGACGNNGNGANGCGAGCGACACGAGGAGAG